rnacentral:rRNA from 1 species
GAUUUCUGGUACAGCGCGCGCGGCCCGCCGGGGUUUCCUCGGUGUGUGUCGAUGUGCGCUUGCCAUCUUUCUGGGAUUGUAUUCUACCCUUCACUGGGCCGGAAUCAUUCUUCAGAUCUUUUACUUUGAAAAAAUUAGAGUGUUCAAAGCAGGCUUGCGCUAUGAAUACAUUAGCAUGGAAUAAUAAUUUAGGACUUCUGUCUUAUUUUAUUGGUUUCUAGGAUGGAAGUAAUGAUUGAUAGGGAUAGUUGGGGGUGCUAGUAUUCAGCGGCCAGAGGUGAAAUUCUUGGAUUCGCUGAAGACUAACUUAUGCGAAAGCAUU